GACGAACGCUGGCCGGCGUGCCCUAAUACAUGCAAGUGGGACGCAAGGGGAACACACUGUGCUUGCACACCGUGUUUUCUUGAGUCGCGAACGGGUGAGUAACGCGUAGGUAACCUGCCUAUUAGCGGGGGAUAACUAUUGGAAACGAUAGCUAAUACCGCAUAAUAUUAAUUAUUGCAUGAUAAUUGAUUGAAAGAUGCAAGCGCAUCACUAGUAGAUGGACCUGCGUUGUAUUAGCUAGUUGGUAAGGUAAGAGCUUACCAAGGCGACGAUACAUAGCCGACCUGAGAGGGUGAUCGGCCACACUGGGACUGAGACACGGCCCAGACUCCUACGGGAGGCAGCAGUAGGGAAUCUUCGGCAAUGGACGAAAGUCUGACCGAGCAACGCCGCGUGAGUGAAGAAGGUUUUCGGAUCGUAAAGCUCUGUUGUAAGUCAAGAACGUGUGUGAGAGUGGAAAGUUACACAGGACGUAGCUACCAGAAAGGCG
rnacentral:rRNA from 1 species